ACAGUAACUCCCCACGUAGUUCCGUCUUCCCGCACGCCGCCUCGCGAAAUUCCUCACCUUCUAUGUUGAGCCAUGAGCCCGCUAUUGCUCUCUCAGCCACCGCUCCCUCUACCUGUCCGGCUAUCCCGCUCCCAAAUCCUACGCCUCCCUCUACGGCUCUACCUGCUCCCGUACAUGGCACCGCUUGCCAUCCCCACGCCCUUUCCCGACGAAUCCGCCGUUGCCGAUCCCUUUGGGCGUCGUUCACUCCUACGGCGAUCUCUCUAUUGCGGGGGGCUGCGCAUCGUCAUCUCCGUCGGCGCCCUCCUGUCCUCCGAUUUAUGCAUCAACGCUGCCUCAGCUGGUGGUUGAGCGACAUUGGGCCGGGCACUAGGUAGAUCCUUGGGACCUGUGCCGCUGUGCGGUGUGCGCGCCAUGGCCGCCACGGCCCGGUGGAUCCAUGAGGCCCCGCCAGGGUGAAUGAAGCUGUUGAUGCUGCAGAUGGAUCCACCAGGACCACUAGCAACAACAGCCGUUCUCAUACUCUUCUUAAUGUUUGCCUUUUGCUGCUGGGAUGCAAUAUGAGGGCUGACAUGACGAAAGCAGAGAUAUUGCACAUCCUUGCUUUUUCUCAAUCUUACAUUACUUCAUGGUGUUCAUUAGUGAUUGCAUGAAACCAUGCAGUGGUUUUAAAUCAGUGCUUACCUCAGCUAUGAAGUGAUAGUUAAUCUAUGCAGAUUCAGGAAUUUUAUCUGUUAACCUGUCUGUGCUCCACAUGGUUUCAUACUAAUUUUGUGGAUGAUAAACAAUGUGUUUUUUAGAGUUUGUCGUGCUCUGCUUUCUCAAUUUGUAGAUGAGAUCUACUGUUAACAUGCUAUCAUGUUUUACCAUGAAGAGAUAGUUCUAAUACCACAAUGGGCAAUAUUACCCUCUUACACAUUGAGCAAAACCUAUUUAUCAAUUCAGCUUUACUGAUUAGUUAGACAAGGGAUGUAUAAUGAAUUGUCUCAACUAUAGGCAACAAUUUCUAUUUGUGUUUUUGGGGUGAUCUAUUUACUGAAGUUGUCUUUGCUCAUAAGUUCAGUAUAUUUGGUUUGAUAAAUUUAAUUGGUUUGUUGUUGCAUUUCCUCUACCAUGACACUUCCUGACCAAAGAACGUGUGUAGCUUACCUUGCUGCAAUGUGGAUGCUUUGAGAUGUUUCAAGUGCAGCACUCAAACUACGAUUACCUCAGCUUUGUGUUAUGUUUCCACAUACCAAUCAAUGAGACCAGAGCACAAGAUUGACAUAUUCUUUGUCGCCCAAUUUUGUUGAUGGUUUGCAUUAGCUGACGUUAGCCUUUUCUUUUGUACAAAAUUUGGUUCAUUUAUCCAUCUUUUGUAUGGCUACUGUAAUACCUGCUCGAUUAAGAUCAUUUGCGCAAUGAUUUCACAGUGAUCUGUAUUGAACACGCCCUAAAUCGCGAGAACCUCUCCGAUAUCUGUAUGGAUACUUUGUCAUGUAUAUUUGUGUUCUUCCGUGCCUUCCAUCAA